GCAACUCGCCGAAAGGCGGGCUAAUCCCGCAUACGUCCGGCAGACAUAUGUCUGUUGGAGAAAGAUGGCCUCUGCUUGCAAGCUAUUGCUCUUGGACGGGCCCGCGUUAGAUUAGCUAGUUGGUGAGGUAACUGCUCACCAAGGCUACGAUCUAUAGCUGGUUUGAGAGGACGACCAGCCACACUGGAACUGAGACACGGUCCAGACUCCUACGGGAGGCAGCAGUGAGGAAUAUUGCGCAAUGGGGGAAACCCUGACGCAGCGACGCCGCGUGAGUGAUGAAGGCCUUCGGGUUGUAAAGCUCUGUCAGAGGGAAAGAAAGGGGUGUUGGAAUAAUACCCAACACCAUUGACGGUACCCUCGGAGGAAGCACCGGCUAACUCCGUGCCAGCAGCCGCGGUAAUACGGAGGGUGCAAGUGUUAUUCGGAAUCACUGGGCGUAAAGAGCACGUAGGCGGAUGGGUAAGUCAGAUGUGAAAUCCCGGGGCUUAACCUCGGAACUGCAUUUGAUACUGCCCGUCUUGAGUAUGGUAGAGGGGGAUGGAAUUCCCGGUGUAGAGGUGAAAUUCGUAGAUAUCGGAAGGAACACCAGUGG
rnacentral:rRNA from 1 species